rnacentral:rRNA from 1 species
CUUGCUUCUCUUGAGAGCGGCGGACGGGUGAGUAAUGCCUAGGAAUCUGCCUGGUAGUGGGGGAUAACGUUCGGAAACGGACGCUAAUACCGCAUACGUCCUACGGGAGAAAGCAGGGGACCUUCGGGCCUUGCGCUAUCAGAUGAGCCUAGGUCGGAUUAGCUAGUUGGUGGGGUAAUGGCUCACCAAGGCGACGAUCCGUAACUGGUCUGAGAGGAUGAUCAGUCACACUGGAACUGAGACACGGUCCAGACUCCUACGGGAGGCAGCAGUGGGGAAUAUUGGACAAUGGGCGAAAGCCUGAUCCAGCCAUGCCGCGUGUGUGAAGAAGGUCUUCGGAUUGUAAAGCACUUUAAGUUGGGAGGAAGGGUUGUAGAUUAAUACUCUGCAAUUUUGACGUUACCGACAGAAUAAGCACCGGCUAACUCUGUGCCAGCAGCCGCGGUAAUACAGAGGGUGCAAGCGUUAAUCGGAAUUACUGGGCGUAAAGCGCGCGUAGGUGGUUUGUUAAGUUGGAUGUGAAAUCCCCGGGCUCAACCUGGGAACUGCAUUCAAAACUGACUGACUAGAGUAUGGUAGAGGGUGGUGGAAUUUCCUGUGUAGCGGUGAAAUGCGUAGAUAUAGGAAGGAACACCAGUGGCGA